rnacentral:rRNA from 1 species
UGGGAACGUGCCUUUUGGUUCGGAACAACCCAGGGAAACUUGGGCUAAUACCGGAUAAGCCCUUACGGGGAAAGAUUUAUCGCCAAAAGAUCGGCCCGCGUCUGAUUAGCUAGUUGGUGGGGUAAUGGCCCACCAAGGCUACGAUCAGUAGCUGGUCUGAGAGGAUGAUCAGCCACAUUGGGACUGAGACACGGCCCAAACUCCUACGGGAGGCAG